rnacentral:rRNA from 1 species
GAUGAACGCUGGCGGCGUGCCUAAUACAUGCAAGUCGAGCGAACAGACGAGGAGCUUGCUCCUCUGGCGUUAGCGGCGGACGGGUGGGUAACACGUGGAUAACCUACCUAUAAGACUGGGAUAACUUCGGGAAACCGGAGCUAAUACCGGAUAAUAUAUUGAACCGCAUGGUUCAAUAGUGAAAGACGGUUUUGCUGUCACUUAUAGAUGGAUCCGCGCCGCAUUAGCUAGUUGGUAAGGUAACGGCUUACCAAGGCAACGAUGCGUAGCCGACCUGAGAGGGUGAUCGGCCACACUGAAACUGAGACACGGUCCAGACUCCUACGGGAGGCAGCAGUAGGGAAUCUUCCGCAAUGGGCGAAAGCCUGACGGAGCAACGCCGCGUGAGUGAUGAAGGUCUUCGGAUCGUAAAACUCUGUUAUUAGGGAAGAACAAAUGUGUAAGUAACUAUGCACGUCUUGACGGUACCUAAUCAGAAAGCCACGGCUAACUACGUC